rfam:Myotis davidii contig93761, whole genome shotgun sequence.
UUGCUUGCCAGCAUGUGCACUAAAAUUGGAACAAUACAGAGAAGAUUAACACGGCCUCUACACAAGGACAACAUGCGCAUUUUCCCCAUAUAUUUUGUAUAUUU